rnacentral:rRNA from 1 species
AUUUAACGCUGGCGGCAGGCUUAACACAUGCAAGUCGAGCGGGGUGAUGGUGCUUGCACUAUCACUUAGCGGCGGACGGGUGAGUAAUGCUUAGGAAUCUGCCUAUUAGUGGGGGACAACAUUUCGAAAGGAAUGCUAAUACCGCAUACGUCCUACGGGAGAAAGCAGGGGAUCUUCGGACAUUGCGCUAAUAGAUGAGCCUAAGUCGGAUUAGCUAGUUGGUGGGGUAAAGGCCUACCAAGGCGACGAUCUGUAGCGGGUCUGAGAGGAUGAUCCGCCACACUGGGACUGAGACACGGCCCAGACUCCUACGGGAGGCAGCAGUGGGGAAUAUUGGACAAUGGGCGCAAGCCUGAUCCAGCCAUGCCGCGUGUGUGAAGAAGGCCUUAUGGUUGUAAAGCACUUUAAGCGAGGAGGAGGCUACUUUAGAUAAUACCUAGAGAUAGUGGACGUUACUCGCAGAAUAAGCACCGGCUAACUCUGUGCCAGCCGCCGCCGUAAGAC